rnacentral:rRNA from 1 species
AGUGAACGCUGGCGGUAGGCCUAACACAUGCAAGUCGAACGGCAGCACAGUAAGAGCUUGCUCUUACGGGUGGCGAGUGGCGGACGGGUGAGGAAUACAUCGGAAUCUACUUUUUCGUGGGGGAUAACGUAGGGAAACUUACGCUAAUACCGCAUACGACCUACGGGUGAAAGCAGGGGAUCUUCGGACCUUGCGCGAUUGAAUGAGCCGAUGUCGGAUUAGCUAGUUGGCGGGGUAAAGGCCCACCAAGGCGACGAUCCGUAGCUGGUCUGAGAGGAUGAUCAGCCACACGGGAACGGAGACACGGUCCAGAGUCCUACGGGAGGCAGCAGUGGGGAAUAUUGGACAAUGGGCGCAAGCCUGAUCCAGCCAGACCGCGUGGGUGAAGAAGGCCUUCGGGUUGUAAAGCCCGUUUGUUGGGAAAGAAAAGCAGCAGGUUAAUACCCCGCUGUUCUGACGGUACCCAAAGAAUAAGCACCGGCUAACUUCGUG